ensembl:lncRNA
GGGAAAACCACUUUCGCCUGUACCGAGCUGUCUGUCAAUGAAAAGUGAUAAUUCAAUGAACCCUCCACUGAAAUUUCAAAGUGAAACAUCACAAGUGCACAGGGGAAAACAAGCUUCGCCCGUACCGAGCUGUCUGUCAAUGAAAAGUGAUAAUUCAAUGAACCCUCCACUGAAAUUUCAAAGUGAAACAUCACAAGUGCACAGGACGAUAAAACAGGAGAGAUCCCACACAUCAGCACCCAGCUGUGCGUCUCUCAAAAGUAACUGGUCUCUGGACCUACCAGACUCUUUUAACAAAUCUUCUGGGCACAGGUAAGAGUUCUGAAGCACAUUUACCAGUUAUGUUUUGGAGGCAUGGUUUCCCAAAGGUGUAAUUUUUACUAUGUUGGAAGAGAGUGCUGUCUAACAUGUCAUUCCAAUAUCUG